rnacentral:hammerhead_ribozyme from 1 species
AUCCAGCUGACGAGUCCAAAAUAGGACGAAAUGCGGAUCAGACUGGAU